UUAGGAAUCACCGCCCUGUCGGAGAUGUGGCUGCCUAACAUAUCUCUCCUUGGAUCUGCUUGCUGUGCUGAGAGUUUCCUUUGGGGUGCAGAGGACUUGAAUUUCUUGUAGUCUUGUUGGUUGAUUCUUGGGAUAUUUUCCUGUGUUGUUAAGAGUCCUGUUGGAGAUGUGGGUCACCGGCAGCGGUGGCUGCUGAGCACGUCUGCUGCUGUCCUUGGGUUUUCCAGUUGGUUAGUAAAAGGUGGUCGGGGACUAGAGCAACAAGAGCAUUGUUUGCCUGUUUACUAGCGGGUAGCUUGGAACCAGGGCUAUGUCAAUUGCGGUUUCCUCUGGAUCUGUUAGCUUGGUGGACCCUGGAGUUCAAGUUAGUACUGAACUGAGCAGCCUCUCUGCUGACCCACACGGAGGACAACAAACAGGAUCCACGUGGAAGCCCACACCUCCUACCACUCAUGGGCAGACUUCUUGUCUGCAACUUCUCAACUGCAGUGACGGGUUCUCUCUACUGGAGCAUACAAAGGAUCUCACUAUAUAGCA